rnacentral:ncRNA from 2 species
GCGGCUGCCCAAGCGCCAGAACUGGCCAGGGCCAGUUGACGAGGGCCGGGGAGUAUCGAAAAUUCGGCGGAUGCCCCGGUGGCCUGAACGGUCAGGCCAUGAAGCCGUUCCCACAAAACCAGGGAGCGAUCUCCGGGACAAAAGGGACGGCAUCCGUUCU